rnacentral:rRNA from 1 species
UACGAAGGGGGCUAGCGUUGUUCGGAUUUACUGGGCGUAAAGCGCACGUAGGCGGAUUGGUCAGUUAGAGGUGAAAUCCCGGAGCUCAACUCCGGAACUGCCUUUAAUACUGCCAAUCUCGAGUCCGAGAGAGGUGAGUGGAACUCCUAGUGUAGAGGUGGAAUUCGUAGAUAUUAGGAAGAACACCAGUGGCGAAGGCGGCUCACUGGCUCGGUACUGACGCUGAGGUGCGAAAGCGUGGGGAGCAAACAGG